rnacentral:lncRNA from 1 species
AUUCCAAGGGAACUCCCACUUCCUGAUUGAUUAAAUUAAAACAAAGGGAGGUGAAUUCCAAUCUGUGUGAUUCUACGGGGAGAUAAGCAUGUUGAAAUCUCCACAAAAACCCUCAUACUCCACAUCUUGGCUCUUCCCUACCAGUAAGAAUUGCAGUGAAUUACUUUGUAAUCCAAAGUAAUUGAGGAAUGUGAAAAUAGUUGCCCCCAAAAGCAAAAUAUCUAUUAUUAAAAAGAAUCAUAGAAGUUAGGUUUUAAAAAGCAUGCAUUUAAUUUAGUUCAUGAAUAAAUUCCAGUGUGCAAAAGUACAAACCUUUUGACUAAGAUAUUACACUUCUAGGCAUAUAGCCCAAAGAUAUUUGACAUAGAAAGGUCUUCUCAAAACCACAAUAUCCAUGACAGUAAUUUUGUUGGUAAUAAAGGGAAAACAAAAUUGAUGCUCAUUGACGGAAGCAUGCCUAAGCCUAGUGUAGUACAAGAAUGUUUUUUAGAAUGUUACUCUGCUGAAAAAAUGGUGAUUGUGAAAAAUAUUUUACUGAAAUUUGAAUUGAGAUAAAGUAAAGAGAAGCCAAGAUCAUAAUAACCAAAAUGUCUAUGACACAAUAAUACAAACAAAAAGAGCCUCAGAAUGAAACUUAAAAAAAAACCCAAUAAAACUGUGAAAUUAGAAGAUCUAAGCUUAACUGGAGAUUUGAGACUGAGAUGGAAGUCUUUGGUGAAAUAUUGCACAUGCUGUCAAACUUUCUUAAUAUCUUGGUUGGGUUUCCAGAAUUUCAUUUUUUCUCUUCUAUUUUGUUUAUUCUUUUUUUGGAAGUGGUGUCAAGAUGGCAGCUUAGAAGCAGCAAAAGUUGAUUUCUCUAUGAAAACCCUUCUACACCAAUCAAAAAAUAAAGUGCUUCAAGGGGGACAGGAAAUCAAAUCCAAGAAGACAGAGCUGUGGGACCCUCCUGCUCAAUUCAACAUAAAAGGUGUAGGGCUUCUCCUGCCCCCAUCUUAGAUUUACUAAGACACCCCUUUGGAUCUGCUUCUAGAGUCCAUGUUGUUUCCUUGAGUCUAAGGUAAGUCCAUUGAGGACAAGUGUUGUUUCCUUUAUUGUCAGCACCUCACACGGCCCACCCCUAGGCCUCCCACAGUUCUUGGUCAAGAAAGGAAUGCUUUGGAUUAAUUGACCACUUGAUGGAUUGUCUCACUAGAUCCUUGUCAGAUCUAAGUAUGGCAUUGGAAGGAAAGGCCUUCCUUGGUGGCCUGGGCCCUCAGCUCUGACUGCCCUAGAAACCUGGCCUUUGUGGAAUCAUCUGCAGAUGGACCCCCCCCCCCCAAGCUGGCUCUGAUUUUCUAAUCUUAUUGCUUCUUUGGCUUAGGCCACAGCAGACAUGUCCCUAUUGGAUGGUUUCCAUGGGCCAGUGGUGAAACAAUUUGUCACUGCUGUAGCUGCCUUUGUCCUAUCCUAUCUUAAUGAAUUGCAUGAAGGACUUUGUAACCUUUGAAAAUCAAUUUGGAGCUUGUUUGCUCUGGCCACUCACCCAGCCUUUUUAAUCAACAGAAGCUGUUGGCCAAUUGCACACACCAGAAAGAGCCCAAAGAAAUAUCAGCAGAAGCUCGAGGCACAGUGAGGGGCAUUCUGGUGGGAUUGUUUGUUUGUUUGCUUUUUCUUGAGUCUGGCUAUAUUUGAAUUCAGAGAUGAUCCUUUGGAAGGCAUCGCCUCUAGCCAGAAUGUCCAAUUCCUAGGCUGACUGCAGAGACACUUUCAAUAUUCGCUAUUCACCCAGUCACCAGAGGUGAUAGAUGCAGUCUCAAGUCUUCUCUUUGCCUGUCCUUAAAUCCCAUUGUUUCCAGAACAUUCUAGCAGGAAAAAGGUUUGCAAUAUGCAACAUGCUACCCAAAUGGCCCUUUGAAGGUUGCUUUAGAAGCAGUUUCCACAGUGGGCUAAUUAAAUACCAGACCAGGAGCAUCAGGUAAUAGUGGAUUAAACAUUUUCCCUGGUAACCCAUUAAAGC